rnacentral:rRNA from 1 species
UACGGAGGGUGCGAGCGUUGUCCGGAAUCACUGGGCGUAAAGGGCGCGUAGGCGGCCGUGUAAGUCACCUGUGAAAUCCCGGGGCUCAACUCCGGGGCUGCAGGUGAGACUGCGUGGCUAGAGCACGGUAGAGGCGAGUGGAAUUCCCGGUGUAGCGGUGGAAUGCGUAGAUAUCUGGAGGAAUACCGGUGGCGAAGGCGGCGUUCUGGACUGCAACUGACACUGAUGAACGAAAGCCAGGGGAGCAAACGGG